CAAAAUUCAGUGAAAAAGAGAAGUAACUUAAAAUUUGUAUUUAUAGAGAAUUGGGGAUGGUGGAAGCUCAAUAAUAUAAUUUAAGUGAAUAGAGCUUUGGAGAAGAUUAUCUGAAAAUAGUAUGAUAAUAGGUAGCCUUGCCUUAAAAGGAAGAGUGAAUAGUAUUUAUAAAUGCUAUUAAUUAGAGUGGUAACGCGGUAAAUUCGUCUCUUGG
rnacentral:ncRNA from 1 species